ACACCAUUGGUGAAGUGGUUAUCAUGCUUGCCUUCCAUCAAGAACCGCUUGUCAAUGGAGCAAGCGGCUCGGGUUCGAUUCCCGAACGGUGUA